AAAGUACUCCCUCUAUCCCAAAAUUCUUGUAUUAGAUUUGUGUAGAUACGGAUGUAUCAAGUCACAUUUUAGUAUUAGAUACAUUUGUAUCUAGACAAAUCUAAGACAAGAAAUUUGGGACAGAGGGAGUAGUUG
rnacentral:pre_miRNA from 1 species